GAAGAGAGAUUUUCUCACAUGGUGGAAAGGCUUUUUUAAAAUGAAUGUUGGCAGACAGAAUAAUGACAGUGACUGUGGUGCAUUUGUCCUGCAGUAUUGCAAGUGUCUCGCAUUGGGUCAGCCCUUCAGCUUCAGUCAACAGGACAUGCCCAAGCUGAGGAGACUUAUGUACAAAGAACUGUGUCAUUGCAAGCUGUCACUGUGAUAUUUGUUUAAAGACUGCACAGCCAAGAUACAUUUGUCCAAAAAGCCUGAGAGACUUCUCACUGAGGAUAUUUCAUCCUCGCUCACGUUUGUUUUCAUUUUGUAUAAACUUUUUGUUUGUUUUCGUACUGGAGCCCAACAUCUUGACUGAGAGAUCUGAGGUAAUUUACGAUUGACAGCCUGUCUUGCCCUUGUGACAUACUGCCUAAAUGGAACCGUCUGUUUUCUGCUUUUUUCCGUGUAUAAAGAUGUUGCAAAACCUCUGAUCUGAAAUGUUGGCAUGAGAGUAACUGUGCUCUAAUGCAAGUGACAAAUCAUGUCUGCAGUUUUGUUCUUAAUAAAUCGUCUUAAGAAAAUAAUGAUCUGUGUACUCAUCAGAACACUUAAAUUAUUAUUUUGUUAGUCACUUUGCAAUUAAUGACGAUUUAUUAUGAAAGGUUAUGGAAUCAAUAUGUCAGUGAGGUAUUCUCCAGUUAUGCUGUGUUCACCCUUAUUCAAACAAAAAAUGGAAAUAAUACCAGUA